GUAUCCUAGAGAAGUAAGGUUUCCAAGGAGUUGGUUGUGUCCAACAGAUAGCAACCAUUGACUUUGGCAAAGCACAGAUCACUGGCACUUUAAUAAGGAUGGAGUCUUUCUCUGUUAUGCAGGAUGGAGUGCAGUGGCAUAAUCUCAGCUCACUUGCAACCUCUGCGAUUCUCGUGGCUCAACCUCCCAGUUCUAGAAGCUGAGAAGUCCAACAUCAAGGCACAGGCAGGUGGCAGGUUUGAUUGUCUGGUGAAGGCUGCCCUCUGCUUCCAAGAUGGACCCUUGUUGUUGCAUUUUCUGGAAAAAAGGAACACUGUGUUCUCAGAUGGCUGAAAGCAGAAGGAACCUCAGGCCAAGUGUUCUUGACAGCUCAUCCACAGACUCCCACUGGUAAAGCAGCAUGAGGAUGGCUUCUGUUAUUUUAUUUCAGAAUUUUUUCCUGCAGUGGCAUGCCAGUACCAGCUGAGGAUCAUGUAUGCAAUAUUUGCCUUCUUUCAUCUUCUACCUAGGAUGGCUUUAAUUCUCUUCGAGGAGAAUUUAUUUUAGUUUUUCCCAGUAAGAGAAUCCACUUCUCUUGCCCAUAUUCAUAAAUUAUCAUUAAAAAUUAAACUUGGUACAAUAAAUAUUAACAUGGUUCCAGCUUCUCCAUUGUUAUGCUCAGAAUUCAGUUCAUUGGCAGGAUCUAGGCAUAGGAUCAGUCCAAAGUUGGGCCAAGGCACAAGGAAGGUUUGCACAAGUUUAGAGCAUCAUUGAGAAUCCAUAUGGCAUCAAAUUCUGACCAUCAGAACCAAUCAUUUUAGUCAAAUUGCUGAGACACAAAUUAAGUCCAGGAAUCGGUAG
rnacentral:lncRNA from 10 species